CCGGUUGAUCCUGCCGGACCCGGCUGCUAUUUGGGUGGGGAUAAGCCAUGCGAGUUGAAUGGGAAACCUAAAGUUCCCAUGGCAAACUGCUCAGUAACACAUGAUCAACUUACCCUAUAGAGAAAAAUAACCUCGGGAAACUGAGGAUAAUGUUUCAUAGUUGAAUUGGCUUGGAAAAGUUUUUCGACGAAAGGGGUAAAAAAAAUGGUUUUUAUCUGCUAUAGGAUAGGAUCGUGUUCGAUUAUGGUUGUUGGUGAGGUAAUGGCUCACCAAGCCGAUAAUCGAUAGGGGCCGUGAGAGCGGGAGCCCCGAGAUGGGUACUGAGACAACGACCCAGGCCUUACGAGGCGCAGCAGGCGCGAAACCUCCGCAAUACACGAAAGUGUGACGGGGUUACCCAAAGUGUUCAAUAGAACUGUGGUAGGUGAGUAAUGUUCCCUACUAGAAAGGAGAGGGCAAGGCUGGUGCCAGCCGCCGCGGUAAAACCAGCUCUUCAAGUGGUCGGGAUAAUUAUUGGGCUUAAAGUGUCCGUAGCCGGUUUAGUAAGUUCCUGGUAAAAUCGGGUAGCUUAACUAUCUAUAUGCUAGGAAUACUACUAUACUAGAGGGCGGGAGAGGUCUGAGGUACUGCAGGGGUAGGGGUGAAAUCUUAUAAUCCUUGUUGGACCACCAGUGGCGAAGGCGUCAGACUGGAACGCGCCUGACGGUGAGGGACGAAAGCCAGGGGAGCGAACCGGAUUAGAUACCCGGGUAGUCCUGGCCGUAAACGAUGCAUACUAGGUGAUGGCACGGCCAUGAGCCGUGUCAGUGCCGUAGGGAAACCGUUAAGUGUGCCGCCUGGGAAGUACGGUCGCAAGGCUAAAACUUAAAGGAAUUGGCGGGGGAGCACCACAAGGGGUGAAGCCUGCGGUUCAAUUGGAUUCAACGCCGGGAA
rnacentral:rRNA from 1 species